rnacentral:rRNA from 1 species
CCUACGGGAGGCAGCAGUGAGGAAUAUUGGUCAAUGGACGAGAGUCUGAACCAGCCAAGUAGCGUGAAGGAUGACUGCCCUAUGGGUUGUAAACUUCUUUUAUAAAGGAAUAAAACGAGGCACGUGUGCCUUUUUGCAUGUACUUUAUGAAUAAGGAUCGGCUAACUCCGGCCCAGCAGCCGCGGUAAUACGGAGGAUCCGAGCGUUAUCCGGAUUUAUUGGGUUUAAAGGGAACGUAGAUGGGUUGUUAAGUCAGUUGUGAAAUUUUGCGGCUCAACCGUAAAAUUGCAAUUGAUACUGGCAGUCUUGAGUACAGUUGAGGUAGGCGGAAUUCGUGGUGUAGCGGUGAAAUGCUUAGAUAUCACGAAGAACCCCGAUUGCGAAGGCAGCUUACUAAACUGUGACUGACAUUGAUGCUCGAAAGUGUGGGUAUCAAACAGGAUUAGAUACCCGAGUAGUC